rnacentral:rRNA from 1 species
UAAAAUAAAUUUAUUAAUAUAUGUAUAAAAUAAAAUAAUUUAAUUUUUAGUAUUUUUUAAAGAAAAAAUAAAAUUUAUGAUAGAAUAAAGUAUUGAAAAAGAAAAUUGAAAUAAUUGAAAAUAAAUUAUUAAAAAAGAAAUUUUUAUUUAAUGUACCUUUUGUAUCAGGGAUUAUUAAUUAAAUUAUAUUUAUUAUAUAAAUUUCGAAAUAAAGUGAUUUAAUUUAAUAUAAUUUUUAUUGUAAUAAAAUUAUUUUUAAUAUUAAAUUAGCGGUUAAAAAUUAAACGGACUUUAUUAUAUCUAAUUUUUUAAGAAAUAAAUUAAAUUUAGUUUAUAUUUUUUAUUAAAUUAUUUAUUAAAUUAAAUAAUAAAAUAUAAAUAAUAUAUUAAGGGAUAAGCUUUAAUAUAAAUAUUAUAAAAUUUUAAGUAUUAAAAAAUUAAUAAAUUCUUAGAAAUAGAAAAUAUUAAUGGUAUGUUAUAAUUUAGUAAGAAUUAAAUAAUAUUUAAUAAUUUUUAAUUAUAUUUAUUAAAAUAUUUAUUUUAAUUUAAAAAUUAAAGUAAUAAUGAUAAUAUUAGUAUAUUUAUGUAUGUUUAUAUAUUUUAUAAAUUAAAUUAAUUGUAAGGAAUUCGGCAAAUUAAAUAUUCACCUGUUUAUUAAAAACAUGUCUUUUAGAAUUUAAUAUAAAGUCUAAUCUGCCCACUGAUGUAAUUUAAAGGGCUGCAGUAUAUUAACUGUACAAAGGUAGCAUAAUCAUUAGUUUUUUAAUUGAAAGCUAGAAUGAAUGAUUGAAUGAAAUAUUUACUGUCUUAUGAUUAUUAAAUAAAAUUUUAAUUUUUAAUUAAAAAGUUAAAAUAAAAAUAAAAGACGAGAAGACCCUAUAGAUCUUUAUAUAAUAAUUUAUUUUUAUAAAAAUAAGUUUAUUUUUUUUUAAAAGUUAAUUUAUAUUUUAUUGGGGUAAUAAUAAAAUUUUAUAAAUUUUUAUUUAUUAAUUACAAUUUUAAUUGAUUUAUUGAUCCAGUAUUAUUGAUUAUAAAGUUAAGUUACCUUAGGGAUAACAGCGUAAUGAUUUUUGAGAGUUCUUAUCGAUAAAAUAGUUUGUGACCUCGAUGUUGAAUUAAAAUUUAUUUUAGGUGUAGAUGUUUAAAUAAUAAAGUCUGUUCGACUUUUAAUUUUUUACAUGAUUUGAGUUUAGACCGGCGUAAGCCAGGUCAGUUUCUAUCUUUAUUAAAAAGUUAUAUUUUAGUACGAAAGGAUUAAAUAUAAAGUUAAUAAUAAUUUUUUAAUUGAAUAAUAUUAAUAAUUGA